rnacentral:tRNA from 4 species
CUCCUCGUCGUUCAACGGAUAGGACAUGAGCUUGCGGAGCUCAUAAUGUAGGUUCGAUUCCUACCGGGGAGA